rnacentral:rRNA from 1 species
UACGGAGGGUGCAAGCGUUAUCCGGAUUCACUGGGUUUAAGGGGUGCGUAGGUGGGUUGGUAAGUCAGUGGUGAAAUCUCCGAGCUUAACUUGGAAACUGCCAUUGAUACUAUCAGUCUUGAAUAUUGUGGAGGUCAGCGGAAUAUGUCAUGUAGCGGUGAAAUGCUUAGAUAUGACAUAGAACACCAAUUGCGAAGGCAGCUGGCUACACAUAUAUUGACACUGAGGCACGAAAGCGUGGGGAUCAAACAGG